AUUGAACGCUGGCGGCAGGCCUAACACAUGCAAGUCGAACGAGUGGCGGACGGGUGAGUAAUGUCUGGGAAACUGCCUGAUGGAGGGGGAUAACUACUGGAAACGGUAGCUAAUACCGCAUACCAUCGGAUGUGCCCAGAUGGGAUUAGCUUGUAGGUGGGGCAAAGGCUCACCUAGGCGACGAUCCCUAGCUGGUCGGAGAGGAUGACAAGCCACACUGGAACGGAGACACGGUCCAGACUCAUACGGGAGGCAGCAGUGGGGAAUAGUGCACAAUGGGCGCAAGCCUGAUGCAGCCAUGCCGCGUGUAUGAAGAAGGCCUUCGGGUUGUAAAGGACUUUCAGCGGGAAGGCGUUACCCGCAGAAGAAGCACCGGCUAACUCCGUGCCAGCAGCCGCGGUAAUUC
rnacentral:rRNA from 1 species